GAUCAUGGCUCAGGAUGAACGCUAGCGGCAGGCUAACACAUGCAAGUCGAGGGGUAACAGGGCGUAGCAAUACGCCGCUGACGACCGGCGCACGGGUGCGUAACGCGUAUACAACCUACCUGUAACAGGGGGGAUAACGGAGUGAAAACUCCACUAAUACCCCAUAUUGACGAGUCUUCGCAUGGGGGUUCGUCGAAAGCUUCGGUGGUUACGGAUGGGUAUGCGUGACAUUAGGUAGUUGGCGGGGCAACGGCCCACCAAGCCGACGAUGUCUAGGGGAGCUGAGAGGCUAGUCCCCCACACUGGUACUGAGACACGGACCAGACUCCUACGGGAGGCAGCAGUGAGGAAUAUUGGUCAAUGGACGGAGGUCUGAACCAGCCAUGCCGCGUGAGGGAAGAAGGUCCUAUGGGUUGUAAACCUCUUUUGCUCCGGAGCAAUAAGGCGGAUGCGUCCGCCGACGAGAGUACGGGGCGAAUAAGCAUCGGCUAACUCCGUGCCAGCCGCCGC
rnacentral:rRNA from 1 species